rnacentral:lncRNA from 1 species
UCCAAAAUGUCAGUCUCGUUCUUUACAAAGCAUUAACAAAAAAAUCUAAACAAAAUAAAAAUCCAUCAUCAAUAAUAUACGAUGAUAUAUCCACUUUAACCAAAAAAAAAAAAAAAAAAACUAUAUAUAAAGCCUAACACUCCAUUCAUUCUUCAGCAUAUUCCCCCAUACAAUGUUGGACAAAUUCAAUAAAUUCGACCCGAAGCUCGUCAAUAUCAUUCUUUGAGAAAUUCUUCUUAGCAACCAGAUUCUUUACCUGAGAAUAUUGAAACAAUAUACAUAAAUACAUGCAUGAAUAUAUUAGUUAUCUAAAACAAGACAUACCCUCAUUUCCAUGGAUUGAGAUGAAUCCCCCAUUAACUCUCUCAUGAACUUCAUACAAUAAAAACCACAUUCCUUAAAGUUAGGUUGUCGAGGAACCUGUAUGGAGGGAACUCUUAAAAUAUAUACAAGUCGAAACUAUGAAGGAAUUGAAGUGAUUAAUUAUGUUUAUCUACAACGAGAUUACCUUAUCAGAAUGCCAUGUUGGUGAUACUACUUUUUUUCCCUCCACCCUUUUGAAUAGCAAUAAGGCACUUUAAAAAAGAUGAUGAGUUAGAUAAGGUAAUUAUAUAAAAAUGAUUACUAAACCAAGUUUAUAUCUGUACUCACGUGUUAACAAUAAUUUUCAAACCAAUGAUUACUUGGUAACAUUUUCUUCAAUAACUUCAGUAGCAUUGUGAAGCUUUUGUCUGACGACCCACCUUUGGCUUUCAAAUUAAAAAGAUUAAUUAGAGCCGAUAACUUGGUAAAACUAGUACAACCUUUAUAUAAAGGUUUCUCAGCAUCUACGAGCAACUUAGUAAGUUUUUUAGGAUUUCCCUUGAAGUUUUCUUGUGCAGCCUCAGCCAUUUCUCUAAUGUUUUCAAUAUCAUUAAGGGUAUCCAUGAUCUUGCUGAACUUGCUCGUGUCUGUUGAUCUUUGGCAGAUCAACCUUAGGAGGGUUUUCCCCAUGCCAUACCCACACGUUAUAUGUUUUAUCAAUCCCAUAACGAAUUAGGUGGCUUCUAACCUCGUUUAUAGUCCUACUAGGUAUAUUCAUACACCUCGUGCAUGGACAUGACAUGAAAUUAGAAUCUUCCACAUUAUCUUCAGCAAACUUAAGAAAACUCGCAAUCCCGUUUUUGUAUUCUUGUGAUUUUAAACUUUCAAACAUCCAAGACUUAUCCAUUCCUACUAAGAAAAAGUUUUCUAAAGUGAGCAAGCAAUUAACACAAACAAAUAUUGGAAAAAUGAUUAAUUUUACAAUGACAUAUCCCUACUAGUAACAUAUAUCUUGCAUAGGUGAGACACAUUUAUAUCACAACAGAACAAUGUUCAUUUAUUGUAUAUUAAACCAAAAUAGUAUAAAGGGAGUCACUCAAAUAUGAGAAAAUAUUAAAUUAUUUUCAUUAUAUUUGAAUAUAAAAUCAAACCAAUAUGAAGGUAUUAAAACUUCACAAGCAGACAAUCAUUCAAGUCAUGUGAAACUAUCAGUAUACCAACGACAUUGAUUAGUUUAUCAACUAAUUUCUACAAACAGAAAUUGGACUAAUUAGUUUAUGAAGAUUGAUUAGGUAAUUAAAGAAUUACAGUUGCUCACCAAAUGAUCUUCACCUACUGAAAUUCAGAACACUUCACCCAAACAAAUUGCGCAAGUUGCACUCUUUAGGAUCCAAAUGAGUUCUGGUACUUAGUUCAGAUUGUAUACUGUCGUCGUACAACUCCUGCAAAAAAAUAAAGUGGUGGUUCAUAACAUGAUAGUACACUCUGUAGGUUGUUGUAGCCCAUGUCUAUAGCUUUAGCUUUCGGUUCCACAAAUUACAGGCCUGUGCUUUGCAACUUGCAAGCUAAGGGUUCUAAGUUUUGCAGCCACUAGAAAUUAAAUUAAUAACAUAACUUGUUCAGGAUUAAAGUUGUCAAUUGUACAACAAUCAAGUUGCCCUUAUAUUGUUUUCGUUGACGUCUUUAAUCCAUAUAGAGUGGACUCAGAAUUUAAUAUAAAGAACUUGGGGUUUAUUUAAUCGCGAGGGGGUGGAGAUUGGAGGGGUUGCAACCUCAUCUGUCAUCAAGCCAGCAGACCAUAUGACAGCAGGACUAACACUUGUAUUUGUAUAUUGAUGUCAUUAUGUUGCACUUAUUAUAGAUAGAUAGGUUAAUCUCUUAAUGCCGACUAACUGAUGAACAAGUCAAUAAUACAGAAGGCACCAUCAACAUGUUACUCGGUGGCCCUUGAACAUGGAAAAGAAAGUUCAACUACCCCUGCCAACAUGUCUACAGCCUCACCUGAAUAACUUCUCUUCUCUUUCAGAUACAUAGAAUACCCCUGCCAACAUGUCUACAACCUCACCUGAAUAACUUCUCUUCUCUUUCAGAUACAUAGAAUACCCCUGCCAACAUGUCUACAGCCUCACCUGAAUAACUCAUUCGGUCAUUCCACAAGACAAGCAUAUCGGCCACCUGACCAUCCCCCAGUACCUUCUUCCUAACUUAUUUAUCAUUAAAGCAUCAGAUGCUAAAAGAGAUUGAUGAUGGAAUGCUUACCUCCAUAAAUUUUCACAUUGCCUCCCCAAGUCCUAUAUCUUCGCAUUUGAUUCUACGAUAAUGGCCAGUGCUUUCUUUUGCCACCAUUUCUUCACACACCACAUUCAGUUUAUCUCAAACCAUUUUACAUGUUUUAUUACUUAUUACAAACACAAUGAAAUUUUAUUUUAUUUCAAUUUUGUUUAUAUUUCGUAAUAUGGUAUGCAGCAUUGCAGCCAAAUUCAAACUAGCUCUUAAUUAGAUGAUAACACACUUCAACAAUUUGGAUCGUUGAGUAGGUGAAUUGUUUUCUUAAAUAAGGUGGUUAGAGUUAUUAAGAGCAGUCUUACGUGAUGGUUGUCUGUGGCUAAGUUUAGGACUGGCGUGAAAAAAUGAUCACAUGGCAGUUGACUUGCUCAGGCAUUGGGAGGAACUAAUUGUUGAUCAGUGAUGAACUCAAUGCUAGGAGACUGUCAGUGGUGUAUAGGUGCUUCUGCAGAGUACUGAUUCUCUUGGGCUGGUUAUUUCGGGCCUUUCCCUUACUUCGAAAUCUGACAAUUGGUGUGUUGAUCUACGGGUAUUGCUAGGGAAUAAGAAUGCUGCUAGAUUGUUUGUCUUUCUAUAUGGCUUUGUAGCUUGUCAGAUGUUUGUUGUUGGCCUGUUGUGUUGUGCCUUAUGUUUGGUAAUAUUAUUUGGUCUUUGACUCGGUUCACAGGUUUGUUGUGCUAAUGUUAGGCUUAUUCACAGAAUGAACUAAACUUGUCAACUUUGAUUGGGUGUGCAUAAUUGCUCUGUUGGAGCAUCUUUACUGAACUAGGUCGUGAGUUCAUAGCUUUGGUUUGGAGAUUGCGACUUUAUGGAAGAAUCUGAAUGAAAAGAUCGUUAGAAGCAAAGAGACAUCAGCAGAUCAGCUGGAAGAAUAGUAAAGGAAGAAAGCCUCAAUAUGCUAUUGGUCUGGAGUAUGGAAGGUAGAAAACAUUUUAAUUUUCAGACGCUGCUACAAAGAUGGUAUGAUUUUGUAUCUUUUUGGUGAUCCGAUGUUAUUAGAGGAGUAUGUAGUUCAGUGUCUAAUUAAUCUUGUGGGAAGGUAGGCACUGCAGUGCCAUAGUUCAACCAGGGUGGUUGGUUUCUGUUUCAACCACUGAAAGACCGUAGCAGCAGAGACUACUGAAGCCAAUACCUUCUUCCUAACUCUUGAAAUAACAUUACAUUGUGGUUUGACACCCUAACCACCCUGGGACAUACCUUUUCUAUGAAUCAUUCUUAAACCAACUGUUACUCCAGACAGAAAUUGGACUAAUUACACGAGUCACUAAUUACAUUGUGGUUUCAAUGUCAGUUUCAUCUCGAUGUUGUAAUACAAAAGUUGGAAUUCCCCUCUACUCUAACCACACUUUAAUAAGAUUUCAUCAAGCAAAACGACAAAAAGGUUUAAUUUUGCAAUAUAAAAAAAAAUCAAAAAUCAUCAAGCAAUUACAUAUCUUGUUAGUAAUUAACCAAUUAAGGAAGCAUGAAAUUUAAUAAAUAGCUUGUAAAGUACUAACAAAGAUAGAUCUAUUGUAGUAAAAUAAACAAAACUCCAUAACCAAUUAUUCAAAAAACAAACUUUGAUGCAAAACAACCUGAUUGGUUUUGGUGAAAUUAGAUUUAAUUUGUUGAUACCUUAUUUUCUUAAUACAAAAGGGGAUUGCUUGAUUGAGCUUUACUGGGAUUCUGUUAAUAGGAAAGUAACAAUAUAAUUUGUUCCUUAUUAAGGGUGUGUUUGAUUGGUGGGAAUAACUACUUGUGGGAAUUUUUAUAGUUGAAAAUAUUCCCACAUAAAAUAAUUCCCACUAAUGGGUCGUUUGAUUGGACAGAAAAACACAAGGAAAAUUUUAUGUGGGAAAGAUUUUAGUUAUUUGAUUAGACAUAAAAACAUGAGGAAAAUUUUAUGUGGGAAAGAUUUUAGUUGUUUGAUUAGACAAAAAAAUAUUCCCUUACAAGUUUGGGAAUUUUUUUUAGGGGUGGGUCAAGGAAAGAUUCAUGAGAAAUAUUUUUAUCAUGGAAUUUUUACAUGACCCAACUUUACCAAUCAAACAGGCAUCUGGGAAUUUCUGGGGUAAUGUUUGAUGUGGGAAUUUUUCCCACGACCAAUCAAACAGACCCUAAGAUUAAACUACUUCAUCAAUUCUAAAACUCAAUUACAGCUUCGGAGAGUAUUCAAAUCCUAAAACAUCACUGUUCAUCACUACAAAGGUUUGAACUUUGAAAAAAAAAAAUAACAGUACAUGUCAAAGAGGAAGAGAGAGAGAGAGAGAGAGAGAGAGAGAGAGAGAGAGAGAGAGAGAGAGAGAGAGAGAGAGAGAGAGAGAGAGAGAGAGAGAGAGAGAGAGAGAGAGAGAGAGAGAGAGAAAGAGAGAGAUACCUGGUCGCCAAAGAGAGAAAGAGAUCGAGAGAGAGA